UGAGUAAUGCAUAGGAAUCUGCCCGAUAGUGGGGGAUAACCUGGGGAAACCCAGGCUAAUACCGCAUACGUCCUACGGGAGAAAGGGGGCUUCGGCUCUCGCUAUUGGAUGAGCCUAUGUCGGAUUAGCUAGUUGGUGAGGUAAUGGCUCACCAAGGCAACGAUCCGUAGCUGGUCUGAGAGGAUGAUCAGCCACAUCGGGACUGAGACACGGCCCGAACUCCUACGGGAGGCAGCAGUGGGGAAUAUUGGACAAUGGGCGAAAGCCUGAUCCAGCCAUGCCGCGUGUGUGAAGAAGGCCCUCGGGUUGUAAAGCACUUUCAGCGAGGAAGAACGCCUAGUGGUUAAUACCCAUUAGGAAAGACAUCACUCGCAGAAGAAGCACCGGCUAACUCCGUGCCAGCAGCCGCGGUAAUACGGAGGGUGCAAGCGUUAAUCGGAAUUACUGGGCGUAAAGCGCGCGUAGGUGGCUUGAUAAGCCGGUUGUGAAAGCCCCGGGCUCAACCUGGGAACGGCAUCCGGAACUGUCAAGCUAGAGUGCAGGAGAGGAAGGUAGAAUUCCCGGUGUAGCGGUGAAAUGCGUAGAGAUCGGGAGGAAUACCAGUGGCGAAGGCGGCCUUCUGGACUGACACUGACACUGAGGUGCGAAAGCGUGGGUAGCAAACAGGAUUAGAUACCCUGGUAGUCCACGCCGUAAACGAUGUCGACCAGCCGUUGGGUGCCUAGCGCACUUUGUGGCGAAGUUAACGCGAUAAGUCGACCGCCUGGGGAGUACGGCCGCAAGGUUAAAACUCAAAUGAAUUGA
rnacentral:rRNA from 1 species